GAUGAAGAACGUAGCGAAAUGCGAUAAGUAGUGUGAAUUGCAGAAUUCAGUGAAUCAUCGAAUCUUUGAACGCACAUUGCGCCCCUUGGUAUUCCAUGGGGCAUGCCUGUUCGAGCGUCAUUUGUACCUUCAAGCUCUGCUUGGUGUUGGGUGUUUGUCUCGCCUCUGCGCGUAGACUCGCCUCAAAACAAUUGGCAGCCGGCGUAUUGAUUUCGGAGCGCAGUACAUCUCGCGCCUUGCACUCAUAACGACGACGUCCAAAAGUACAUUUUUACACUCUUGACCUCGGAUCAGGUAGGGAUACCCGCUGAACUUAAGCAUAUCAAUAAGCGGGGA
rnacentral:misc_RNA from 1 species